rnacentral:rRNA from 1 species
ACUGUGCAAAGGUAGCAUAAUCAUUAGUUUUUUAAUUGGAAGCUUGAAUGAAUGGUUGGACGAGGCACUAGCUGUUUCAUAUUAAAUUGUUAGAACUUUAUUUUUUGGUGAGAAAGCCAAAAUUUUUUUGAAAGACGAGAAGACCCUAUAGAUCUUUAUAAUUUAAUUAUUAUUAGUUUGUUAGGAUUUAAUUAGAUCAAUAUAUUUUAAUUUAUUUUGUUGGGGUGACAUAGAGAUUUACAUAACUUUCUUUAUUUUUUUUACAUUAUUUUAUGAUUCAAUUUGAUCCUUUUUUUAAGAUUAUAAGAUUAAGUUACCUUGGGGAUAACAGCGUAAUUUUUUCGGAGAGUUCAUAUCGAUGNNNNNNNUUGCGACCUCGAUGUUGGAUUAA